CGUUCCCGGGCCUUGUACACACCGCCCGUCACACCAUGGGAGUUGGUUUGGCCUUAAGCCGGUGCGCCAACCGCAAGGGGUAGCCGUCCACGGCCGGGUCAGCGACUGGGGUG
rnacentral:rRNA from 1 species